AUGGAUGCCGCCGCCAUCGCUCUGGCCCGAGCCAAAACGAGGUUUUCAGCCCGGCCACCACCCUCCGCCUCCGCCCAGGGUACUACCCUACAUGAGAGCGUCGGCCGCAUGACCAUCGAGAACAUCGAAGGCCCGCCCCAAUGCUGCCACGACAACAAGCCCGUCUGUGCCCGAGCCACGAGCUCUGCCCACGAGCCCGCAGCUCCCGCCACCAAGGCCGUCGCCCUGCAACCAGACACUCCAGAGACCAUCAAAGGCAUGAGCUUUGAGCCGACCGGCAGAUCCCUAGCACCGUUGGAGCCGCCGGUGACCGACCCGCCGCGAGCAAUGAUCAGCGGCCCUAGAGGCACUAGGCCAGGAAAAGGGAGGGAGCGGAGCUCGUCCAGACCGACGCACCCCUGUGUCGGUGAGACGAUGAUAGGUAGUCGGAAGAGGCGGCACCCAUCCGCCGGCGAGGGCCGACCGCACCCUGCCGCCGAAGAAGGCCUCCAAAGGAGCGCCAACCGCCACCACACAACAUGCGCCUCCACGCUCUGGCCAGGUCUAGCCGGUGCCCCGUCACCCCACCGGAGUAGAGCGAACACCUACUGCAGCACCACCACCUUAGAAGGGCCGCCAGCCACCCUUGCUGCCACCAACCGCCACUACCAGCCGAAUCUGGGCAGGGGCUGCCAGAUCCACCGCCAACACGCUCCCGGGCCUCUAGAUCCCAUGGGCCCGGGGGGGAGGGGAGGAGGCGGUGCUGGCAAUGCACCAGGACGGCAGGAGGAGGGAGGAAGCUGGAGCAGAGGCCGACCUGAAGCUGGAGCCGAAGCUGAAGCAGGAGCGCCUAGGGAGGGGAGAGGGGGGUGUUCUCUAGUGGCUUGGGAGAUCAUUUAUGGGGGUUCACUAUAUGCGAUCAGGAGGAUAGUUAUAUCUAGCAAGUGCGCCAGUCCACACCAUGGUUGCAGAGGAGGACCAAGUAGUAGCAUCCGGAUUAUCAGGAGAAAAAAGCAAGGACCAACGACAAAAAGCAGAUCGGGGAAAGGAAAAACUGCAUUGACAGAUAAGCUAGGGAGAUCAGAUCAUAUUGUCCUCUUGAUUGAAUCAAUCUGGGGGAAGGGAGACAUCCUCAUCCUGCUGCUGCUCGGCCUGGUGGCAUCGAACUACAUGCGUGAAUGCAAACUGACCCCCGCUUCGACGCCGAAAAGGUCGAAGGGAUCAAGCGCCUCCACGUCUCCCCACAGGUUCGCUUCGGUUCAUCCUGUCCUCUCACGCCGUGGAAAUUCGGACUGGUUUGUUGUUCGCAUUCAGCACCGGUGGUCAAGGUGGUCAAGAGAGAACGUGGCGGCGCAGUCGUUGGAGGUGAAGAAGCUCGUCUACUCCUGCCUCCUGUACUACCCCGAGAAGGGCUCACUCUAUUUCAGCAGCAUCCAAGCUCGGAUGUGCACGUGGACCAGGCCCACAGAAAAUAUGACCCAGUCCUUCUCGUGGACGGCCCAGCGGCGCGGCAGCGUCGUGGGCGGUGGGGCGGGCGCGCACCUCGACGACCCGAACGGCGCCGCCAUCUCGGUGCUCCUCGACUCCCGCUUCGACGGCGACAAGCUCGACGCCCUCAAGAACCUUCUCGCCCUCGUCUCUCGGGCCGUCGACGUCGCCCACCUCUCCCCGCAGGUCCGGCUAGCGUCCCCCCUCCUCUCGUCUCGUCUCGUCUCACGCCGUGGAUUCAGGCGACGGAAUUGCUCAUCUUCCAACCUGAACAGACUUGAUGUUUUGCACUCGGGAGGUGCAUCUGGUCCAAAACCAGCCGCCCCCCAUGAAAGCCCAGCCGCCACUUCAUUUCCUUUCCCGCUUGCGCCCGUCCACCCGCCCGAAGAACAGUCGACCGGAAUCCGCCGCCGCGAUCGCCCAAAACCUCGCCGUCGGCGCCGCCACCACCCCACAUGCCCGUCGCCGCCGCCCUCCGCCGCUGUCGCCCCCGCCGCCGCCCGGACGCCGCUGAAUCGGGUGGGAGCUGGCGCGGGAUUCGGCCUCUCCGGUGGUCCGGCUGCCGCGGUAGGCCUCCGCCGGGUCUUAGGCUGCCGCCGACCUCCUCCCGUCGGCCGUGAGCUUGUCCACGGCCGUUGCGCCGGCCGCACGACCGUCGCACCAAGCCCUCCGCCCGGCUGCCGAACUAGUCUUCGCCGCCCGCCGAGCUCCUCUUGGCCGGCCUCCAACCUCAUUUCUUAUCACCGCCGCCGUCCGGAGCCGACCACAGCCGUCAGCAGCAGCCAAUCCAACCGACGGCCAUCUUCUUCCAUCGCGCACACAAGGUGUUCGACGGAAUUCCCCAAGGUGGUUGGACAUCGGCUGAACAGCAGUCGGGCGGCUGCUGGCCAGUUUUGGACCAUGAAUUUGGACCAUCUAUUGGAGUUGCUCUUUUGGACCAUCUGUUGGAGUUGGCCUUUUUCCGGAGCUCCAAAACGCACUUUUUGGCGGUCCAAAAUUUACAUCUCCGGUUUUGGACCGUCAAAAUUUGGAGCAUCUAUUUGA
rnacentral:rRNA from 1 species